ensembl:lncRNA
CUGGCUGUUUUUGAGGCGAUUUCUCUGAAAAUAAUGGGAUAGGAUUAUUUUGAUCCAGAAACAACAAAAUCAAGAGCACAGAACACUUGUUUUCAGUGCUUUGAACAGGUCGACACAUUUCCAUCUAAUGGACAUCUUGUGCUACUGUAACAGUAUAACUUUAGACCGUCCACUCGCCCAUACGCGGGCGCGAACCAGGGACCCUCUGCACACAUCAACAACAGUCACCCACGAAGCAUCGUUACCCAUCGCCCCACAAAAGGAACCACUUUACUUCAAGAUCUCAGAGCAAGUGACGUCACCGAUUGAAACGCUAUUUAGCGCUGCACCACGGCUGACUAGCUAGCUAUUUCACAUCCGUGACACUACUACGUCUACACUGUCAAACAGAGAUGAGUGAAACACAUGAAUAAAGGUACCUAAAUAAUCAUUUAAAAAAUACUAUUUAGCCUACAUAUCAGUAAGUACGUGCAUUCAUUUGACAUUUCUCAAUAUAACAACUGACCAGCUACCUAUAAAUGUAACAUAAUGAACCUUUAGUUUUCAGAAAAUGUAACACCUCGUUACCUUAGUUACAUUAAAAUGUAUUGGUUGUAGUAAGCUUCUAAAUCCACCCUGAAUCCAACAGUCCAGUGACAUCAAAAUAAUGCAGUUUUUCACCAUCAAAAAUGAACAAAUGAAAUGUAAUCCUCAAGGUCAGAUUGGAUUACCAAACCAAAUCCCUAUUGGGAGGAUCAGAAUCAAAUUUUUCAGUUUUGAAAAUACUCAUUCUAACAUUUAAUCCUAUCUGAUCAGAUAACUUUAGAAAACCUGGGCCCUAGGGUAUGACAGUGUGCCCAGACUAUACCCUGUACUCACCUAACAGUGGUUCCCAACCCUGGUUCUUCAGUACCCCCAACAACCCAACCCUGGUCCUUCAGUACCCCCAACAACCCAACCCUGGUCCUCCAGUACCCCCAACAGCCCAACCCUGGUACUGGAGGUCUGGAGAUGGGCUGUUGGGGGUACUGGAGGACUGGAGUUGGACUGUUGGGGUACUGGAGGACUAGAGUUGGACUGUUGGGGGUACUGGAGGACUGGAGUUGGGCUGUUGGGGGUAUUGGAGGACUGGAGUUGGGCUGUUGGGGUACUGGAGGACUAGAGUUGGGCUGUUGGGGGUACUGGAGGACUGGAGUUGGGCUGUUGGGGGUAUUGGAGGACUGGAGUUGGGCUGUUGGGGGUACUGGAGGACUGGAGUUGGGCUGUUGGGGGUAUUGGAGGACU